CCUUAAAAAUGCCUUUAUCAUAUCGAGAACAGAGCCAAAUAUCCAUCUGAAUUAAUCUGAAAGGGCAAACUUGGGAGUAGCCCGUCUGACAAAAUAGAAACUUCUUUAGCCGUGAAGCCUCUUGAAGGAAUCACUCAUCAAGUUGGGAGAGCGCAGACAAAUAUCCGGGGAUCGGAGAUUAGUCCAAUAUGAGGUAGUGACAUGUAACUCUUCUAACUGCCGUGUUUCUCUGAGCAAGUGAUGUAUAACAUCCUUGUGCACCAUGUUGCACUCAAUACUUAAGACCUUCAAACUUGUAGCAUAUGCAAGAAUAUUCUCAACACAAUCCAUACCAAACGGGCACAGCAUAUUCAGCUCGCUGAGGUUCUUGCAGUGCUGACUAAUUGCCUUCAUGAAUUUAAUAGAAAAACUACCUAUAAUUGUCACAUCCCGACCCUUAUAUUUUUACCUUAUUUACUAGCUUAAUUAUAAUAAGAAUUUUACCGUCCCCAUCAUUAAGUUAAUAGUUUAAUUGGUCUCUAGAGGUAUUUUAAGGGACGAUUAAUUUCGGGGAAUUGUUCGUGGGAGAAAAUAUGACGACGGUAAAAAUGGUAAAUUUUUAUUCGGGUAUUAUUUUUCGGGGUGUUUUAUUUCGGAUUUGGGUGGUAUAAGAAGGUUGGACCGGGCCAAAGGGUGGUCAAGCCUAGCCCUCUUUUCUCUCUCUCUCCCUCCCGGUUUUCCCGCACCCGAACUCCCUCCCGCAGCCGAUCUUUCUGUCGCCGGCCAGCCGCCGUCCGGCCACCAACCGCCGCCGCACCGGUCCCGUUCGGUUGGCCAUCAACCCAGCAACCUUCUUGGACCGGUGACAGCUCCCCUAGCGUCGCCGUGAGGAAGAUAUCGGGCCCGAGAGGUCCGACUGUGUUAGGUUUCACGUCGCCGGAACUCCCUCCUCCGGCCACCAAUCCGGGCAAGCUUGGUACGGUUUUGUAGCCCUCCAACCCAGCAGCCUUGCCCUAAAAGGACUCACUCCCUCUUGAGCUAGGUAAGGAGAAAUUUGAGGUGGAAGUUUUAUGGCGUUUUUGAUGUUUUUAGUCGAUUACCCUAGUUAGGCUUGGAAUUAGUGUUUGUGCUAGUUAGGAAAGUUGUAGAGCAUGAUGAGAGGAUUAUUCUGUCAAAAUUUCAUAGGUUUUUGAGGUCGCCGGAAUUGGCCUCCGGCCGCCGCUGCCGGCGGAGCCGCCGCGGUUUGGGAGAUUUUUAGGGUUUUAAAUGUGGAAUAUUAAGGGGAUUAUAUUGAUGUGAUUUAUGGAAUUUUUGGAUGAGAUUUGAAUAGGUUUGUGAAUUUCCGAAGUUUGGUAUUUUUGGCGGUUAAUUAAUGUAGAAUCUGGCCGUAGGAUUUAAGUCGUAUUUUGGGGAGGUUGUAGUUACGACUGUCGAGUAUGAUAUUUUAGUUCGGAUCGUUUCGAUUUAAGAAUAUCGAAGUUAGGUAAUGAUGAGCGUAUUUAUGGCUCUCGGGUAAUUUUGCCUAUUUUGAUUAAAUAUUGGAUUAUUAGUUGGGAAAUUAAUAUUAUAUUUGGAACAGGACGUGAGGAGGCUCGAGCAGACGAGGCCCCAGAUCGACAUCAGGCUUAGGCCUAAUUUGUGAGUGGACUUUUGUUUUAAAUAAAAUGCAUGCUAGAGUUCUUGAUUGAACAAUAUUUGUUGCGGAAUAUUUUGACGUCAUUUUAAUUUGACGAAUUUUAUUUCUCUUGGAGAGUGACCGAAAAUGGGUUUUCGGUGGAUAUAAAUAUGUAUUUAUGAGAGAGUAUGUAUAUAAAAUGUUAGCUAGCCAUAUGUGUCUGUCCACCUUAAUGGCGUAGCAUAUAGCCGCAUUAUGGUGUGACGUGAGCGUUGGACGUGAGCGUAGUAGCCCUAUUUGAGUGUUUAAUUCAUAUAGGGGGUAUGGACACAUAUUUAUACACCCGUCUGUCCACCUUAAUGGCGUAGUGUAGCACCGCAUUAAGGCGUGACGUGAGCGUUGGACGCGAGCGUAGUAGCCCUAUAUAGACCCAUGAAUUUAUAUAGGGAGUAUGGACGAGUGUAAAUACAUACAUAUAUUAUAGAGUCUGAGAGGCUCGAUAUUUUAUGAGAUAAAAGUUUUAUCGCUUGCGGCAUGCAUUCGAUUUUUCCUUAGAAAUUAAUUUGGGGAAACAUAAAUAUUUUAUUUUAUUAUUUUAUUUUUGUCCACUCACUUUAACGUUAUUAAAUGUUUUCCCCUGGGCCCUUCGUUUUAAAUUGCCCAGUCUGCAGAGUUCGGGUUGGAUCUAGUAGGAGGCGUGGCAUAGUCACCCACAUUUCCGCCAGUUUUCAUCAGUAGGUUACAUGUUUAACCUACUCGUGUUUUCUUACUUCCGUUAGUGUCUAGUAGCUCUGAAUACUUUGGGAUUAUUGUAUAUUACGUUUAGAAUUUCUGAAGGAUAAUUAUGUGAUGUUUGGACGUGUUGUAUUAAGAGUGUAAUUUGGAAUUUUCGAGUUAAGGUUGUCCAUUUUCAAGGGAGAUUUUCUCAAUCUUUUCAGUAAAUUUUCCUUGGAGGUGGUCCCCGCACGACUUACUCCGGGUUUCAGGGUGAAAUUCGGGGUGGGUCGUGUCAAUAAUAGUCAAUGACUCAAGCUUUGGCCAUUUCUUUGUAGACUUGUAAAUAGACCGGAUCUUAAUUCGGGGACCCGCUCCGGAUAAAUGGUUUUUAAACGGGUUUGAAUCGAAAAUUUGAUUCGUGGAUCCGUUAACCCGUUUACUGAACGGAUUGAAUACGGAUCGAGGUUGAUCCGAUCCGUUAAGAACCUGGAUCCGUUUUAAAAUAAUUAAAUAAUAUUUUUAUAAAUAUAAUAUUACUGAUAAAUAUUAAAUAAUAUAAUAUUUAUUUAGAUAACCUAAACGUCUAAAUUGCGUCUAAAGUAUGAUUUGAUAAAGUUGAAGAUUACUGAUGCCUAUAUUUUUUUUUAUGCAUUUUGCUAAAAACAUUGGAGGUUUAGUAUUUUGGUUAUAUUAUAGUUUAUUGUUAAGGAGUAUUUUGGCCAUGUAAUUUAACUUUUGAUGUAAACCUUUAUUUUGUUAUAAUAUUUCAUUAGUGUUUUAUGAAAACUUAUGAUAAAAUUAAGAUUAUAAAUGGAUCGGAUUAACGGGUCGGAUAUCCGUUAACCCGCCGGAUCCAGAUUUGGAUCGAGCUAUCAAUAUUCUGACGGGUAACGGGUCGGAUCCAGAUCUAGGUCGAUCCGCUCCAGAUCCGGCCCAUUUACAGAUCUAGUUCUUUGCAGCUUCUUCAGAAUCAUUAACUAGUAUAAAUUUGUCCUGCACUGAUAGAACAAGGAUCUUUUGAGAUUUGGGGUUCUGUAAAAGAGAGAACUAGUCAAUUUACGUUUCAUCAAAUAACCUCUAUAGAACAUUUUGGGAAGUAUGAACAUUGACCUUUUAGAAAUAAGAAACAAGUGCGGACUUGUUAUCCGAGAGUAGGCGUGGAAGAUCAAGCAAGAUAUAGAUCCACCACAUAAUCUGGAACCGCUAUUGACAAUAUUCAUAAUCAUCUGGCUAGACUGCUCGCAUUGUCGAUUGAAUCGAAGAUCUUGAUUUCCAGCUUACUCAAGUCAACUACCUCCCAGAGGCAGGGUUCGGAAGCUGCUUCCCGCCAAGAUUUGCAAACAAAUGCCCCACGUAUUAAUUCCACAACAUUAAAUGUCAUGAAUAUACGUAUGAGUAUAUCCUUAUCCAUGUCUGCCCAUCUUUCAAAUCCUGAGUUUUUGUUUGUCGUCAUACUAGAAAAGAAGUGGCUGAAACCAUCAAUCAGAAGAAGAUACUGUGUAUAAGUGUAAAGAAUCAAUGAUUAAACUCAACCAUUGUUAAAGGAAGAAAAUAUGUUGCUGAUAUAUUGCUGAUUCGUUGCUGACGUGAUUGAUAGAUAGAUAGUCACUAUUGUGAUUAUAGGAGUGAAUGUAGGAUCUGGUUUAUUUGUAUUUAUUCCUUACCUAGAAUAACUUCUGGAACUUGUAUAUUAUAGCAUAGCUUUGUACGAUUGAGACUAUCUAAUAUACACUCAUUCACAUAUCAAUUUGUUUAUGGUAUCAGAGCACCGAUUCUGGUGUCUCUAACCCACUACUUCCGCUACAAACAACCCACUACUUUUGCCACAAACAAACACAAACAUCAUGGCUGAGGUCAUUGAAACCCCAGAACCACAAAACACCGAACUCAUUCCUUCAUCUAAAGACAAAGAUGUGAAUGAUUUUGACACACCCAACCCUUUGACCUUACACCCAUCUGAUACCACUACCAGGACAAGUACUUUAGCCGACGAAAUAUUUUCGUCGGCCUGUUAUCCUAAUUCGUCGGCUAAGACCUUAGCCGACGAAGGCUCGUCGGCUAUAGUGUCGUCGGGAAAGGGUCGUCGGUGAUGGCUUUAGCCGACGAAUCUAAAGACCAUCGUCGGCUAUUGUUCCAGACUUUAGCCGACGAACUAUUUUUCGUCGGCUAUUGUUCCAGCCUUUAGCCGACGAACAGUAUAUUCGUCGGCUUUACUGACAAACUUUAGCCGACGAAUAUCUCUGUUUCGUCGGUUAAAGUAUAUAAUUAAAAUAUUUAAAAAUAACUAUAGCCGACGACAUAGAGUCUGUUUCGUCGGCUUUAGUGGUGUUUAGCCGACGAAACAUACCAUAAUUCCGUCGGCUAAACCCUUUGGAAAAAAAAAAUUACUAUAGCCGACGAAUUGUGGCAUGUUUCGUUCGGCUAUNNNNNNNNNNNNNNNNNNNNNNNNNNNNNNNNNNNNNNNNNNNNNNNNNNNNNNNNNNNNNNNNNNNNNNNNNNNNNNNNNNNNNNNNNNNNNNNNNNNNAGGUUUUUGACGAGGCAACAGAUCAGCACCAUCGGCAUAUCAGCGCGCGGCACAAGGGGGAGUGUUCUAGGAUAUCUCUACUGUGUGCCUUGGCCUUAUGCCAAUAGGAUAUGUAGUUAGACUAGAUCUAUGUAUUCAUAUCCUUACCAUAUUGGUAUUGUGUAAUUCCCUAUAUAAAGGGCUCCUAUCAAUGAAUAAGAUGACUCUCUUGCUAUCUCUUUGUCUCUACACUUUAUUCUUCAUCACGAUCGUUAUUAUUCUUAUAUAUGUAAGUGAGAAUUGAACAUAUGAACUCAAAUUUGUCAAUUAAACUACCUAACUAAACAGCACACGGCUCACUGACCGUAGACAACAACUCGGUGUGACAUUUAUAAUUCAACAAGAAAUUUUGACUAUUUAUCUAUGUAUGUUAGAUCAAAUAUAGGGAAUGAGGUACAUUUUUUCAUGUCACUGUGAUGCAUUCUUUUUAGCUUCUACAUGAUGUUACCUUUCUUCCAUGUAAAUUUAUCUUUCUCAGAUGUAAGUCAUAAAUAUCUCAUUUUGUGACGACUUUGUUGAACGCCUUUAUCUUUGAGUCAGUUUUUUCAACCCGUCACAAAUUAAAGUCUGAUAAAAUUAUAAAUCACCACUGACUACCUAUCCACAAUGGAGCUUGAAUUCCAUGAAUUGGUGGGGGAAGAAUAGUUACCUUAUGGGUUAUGCACAAACAACUCCACAGGAAUCGAUGUGAAAUGAAGGAAAAAUUUCAAUUGUACCAAGGAUUCAUGUCAUUCAUCUUUAGCUAGCUAGUCGCAUUUAGAUUUAGAGUAACCAAAACUGAGCAUGAUCCUCAGUUUGAGUUUUCCAAGCAGUGGUAAGGAUUCCUUUUUUAUGUAGCAUGUCUAGAGAAGCACUCUAGAAUUUGGAAGUAACAAACUAUCAACAGAUUGGUAUUAAACCAAUAGUUUGUUUCAAACUAUUAUACAAGUGAAGACUAGAGAUGAACAAAAAUGCAAGAUUGCAAGUAAAUUCUCUCACACUUGGUUAAGUAUUACAUUUUACAUGGUUUCUAGUGCUAGAUUACUGAUCAUUUUAACAAAGGGCACAGGACACUUGGAAACAAUAUCGAACCUAGACGGAAAUGAGGCAUGGCCAAACAGAGAUAAACUCAACAAGGCAAGCUCUCUAAGAGACAACCUUGAGGAGAGGAAUCCUUGCCAGUAAUAAGGAUCCAAGUCAAAGAAAGCAUCAAAAAACCUUCUACUUCCAUUAAGAUCAAGCUUCAACAAAGUUUCCAUCCCAAAAGAGUAAUAUUGCCUUACACAUCUCCUCUCAGUUGUCCACAAACCAUUCCACGCUCGUUCAUGAAGCGAUUUCCCUCGGAUCAUUCGAGUUGAACCAAGGCACUCUGCAAUGGCCUCAGCUAGUACCGGUGCUAGAGCCAUUGUCCGAGCCACCAUGUAACCAGUUGAAGGGUGGACAAUCCCAGAAGUCCCUCCAAUUGCCAUAACGCUUUGAGGUAUCCGAGGGAGCGGGCCUCCCAUUGGAACCACACACUUCUCAACCUCCAAUAUCCUCUUCACUCGAAUCCCCAAAUGCCUUAGCCUUGCCACCAUUCUUUUCUUGAUCUCCAUGUAAGAUAAAACCGGCCUACUAACCAGUGAAGUCUCUUCCAAAAAUACCAAGUUGGAAUCAAAUGGCAUUGCAUACAGAAAAGCAGGGAACCUAGAAUUACCAGUACGCAAGUAAGGUUCAUUCCCUAGAUGAGAAUCCCUCCAAUCCAUAAGAACCAUCUUAUCCAAGUCAAAGGGGUGACCUUCCACUUCAGCCAAAAUACCAUGAGCAAUCUGAUACCCAUGAUUCCUUGGCUUAUCAUACUCUAUGAAACUACUUGCAAAACCACUAGCAUCAACAACUAAGCUUGCCUUCAACUCAUUCCCAUCAUCACACACAAUCAAAGACUCAAACUCUUUGUGCUCAAUUUUCCAAACCUUGGCCUUGUGAAAUUUGACUCCAUUGGAGAGACACCUCUCCAUCAACAAUUUCUUGAGCUUCUUUCUACUGACCCGACCAUAAGGACGGUCUAAAUACUUGGUCUUAUUAUCAUCAAUAUGAACACAAGCCAUAGGCCAUGUUUUGUCUAAACAACUUUCAAGCUCCAAGCUCUCAAACUCAUCAACCCAUACACCAUAGUUAUUUGGCCACAUAGAAAGAGGUGAAGGAUCAACACAACAUACCUUGAUGCCAUACUGUGACACUUGCUCAGCUAAACGAAGACCAGCAGGCCCUGUGCCGAUGAUGAUCACAUCCACUCGAGACCGGCUACUCGGGUCCAACCGGGGCAGAUCAAAAUCCAACACUUCAGGUGUUGACUCUGGUUUCAAGUCCAGGAAAUUCCCAUACUUGCUGCUUUGGACUCUGGAAAAUCUCUUUCCUGUGUAAUGGGGUUUGGGGAAAGAGCAUGGAGGGCUGGAUGCAUGGAAGAGUUGACUGAUCUUGGUUGGUAGUAGCAGUGGUGGUGGUGGUGGAAACAAUCUGACGAGGGUGUCCAUCAUAGAGUGGGAUGAAGAUGACAGAGAAGAGGGACAGAGGUUAUAUAAUAGAAGAAGAAUGGGAGAUAGAGACAGAAUGGGAAUCUAAAGCAGUAGUAUGAAAGUGAUGCUUUUCUAAAACUUGGGUAGAGCAGCAUUUGUGUGGGGUAAACGUGCUGCAGGCCAUUUGUCGGGCAUUUAGACAUGCAUGAAACUCCACCCACAUGCGUUACUGAAACAAUUGAAGCCGCCUUGAUUUGGUAAUUGCCUAAUUGAAGCCGCCUCAUUUUCAGGUCUAGUUUGAUGUAUCCGGCGGGGGUAUUUGUUUGACUGGAAUCUAAACUACAAGAACAGAGAGCAUUUAUAUUGUCAAAAAAUAAAGAUGUGAUCAUCCUAUGAUCUUGAAGCAAAUAUUGUCCAAAUUCCUGAGACUCGAGCUGAUUAAGCGAGGGGAGAAUGUCAAUUUCACAUCAACUGAGUUCAUUCAAAUCAGGUGCUGCAUGAAUUGGGUUCCUCAUAAAGAUGAUGUGCAAUGUGUGAAAAGGAAGGUUUCCAAAACGGGUAAAAUAGAAGAGAAUAUGGGAUUGAUGAACUUGAAAACUUGAAUCAUCAAAUACAACUAGCGGUGUUUUAUGAUUUUCCAUUCGUAACAAGUGAAGUCAUUCAUCCAUGUCCCGGUGUUCAUAAAAUACCGAGAUGAUAUUAUAAUGCGACACUGGAAAAACAACGUCACAGACUUUUUGAGGAACCCGACAUUCCAAGUUAAGUUGCAAAGAAAAUAUUACAAGCUACAAAUAAAUUACUUUCAUAUACAACUAAAACAAAAAACAAAAAAAAGUGAACCCGUUAAGCACUGAUUUCCUUUUGAAUAUAGAAUGAUGGAGAUUGUCUUAACAGUUUUUGUUACAUACACAAAUACGGGAAUUAAUCAAGAUCUGCAGGACGGUAACGUGAUUCCUCCACAACAAGCAGCAAUGAUAAUGUACAGGAACACAACAAUCAAACAUGUCAACAGGGCCCUGUGCAAAUUAAACAAUUUUCAAUGUCCUGAAACAAUCAUAGAAUUACUUUCCAUCUAGAAACUUUUGUUUGACAAGCAGGAGAAUUCAGCAAGAAAAAACGCAUGGGUUAUAUUUAUUUCAUUUUCUAAUAAACAUAAUAUCAUCAGUAACAUAAAACAUGAUGACCACUACAAGAAAAGAAGGGCACCAUGAAACAGAAUAGAGAUCUGCAUUCGAAAAUAACAAUAGUCCACAGAUUUAUUCUCUUCAGAGGUUGAUAUCUUAGAUGAGUUCUUAGCACUAUUAGAAAAGCAUGAUCAAGUAUUCUUUCACAAAAGAUCUGAGAACGAACUGAUAUAUUCAAAACAAUGGCAACAAAUCAGUGAAUCUACUAGGUAAAUUUGAAAGAAGAAAAAGAAUGGGAAGCUUGCAAAUGACAAACAAGAAGAUUUACAGGUAUGAUUUGACUUCUCAAACUGCAACCCAUGUCAGGGAUGCUGGAAUUAGAGAGUGACUACAAUAGAGAUUGGCUGUUCUAGUGAGAGUUUUACUUUAGACUAAAAUACAAGAAAUGACAUUUCCUUCCAACUCUCCUUAAGUUGAAAAAGCCGCCAAUCUUUCCUACAGGUGUGAUAUAUUCAUUCCAUUUCUUUUGAAAUUAUUAAAAGCAAAGUAGAACAAUGAAAACAAAACAGAAGGUUUACUAAACUAGUAAACUCCAACUUCAAACAACCCUCUUCUCUCACCCCAUCUCUCGCAUCUCUUUCUGUGAAUCACUCAACCAUUUUGCUGUUGCUACUGCAAUGCUUCCCAUUCAAAUUCAUUUGGUUCCACUCAUCCUAUCUCUAGAGCAAGUCCUAACCUCAUUCAAAUUCCUAACACUCACUUGAUUAAAAAAGCAGGAUUCCGAUUUUGCUGGCUAUUCAUGAUUACACUAGUCACUUCCCAGCAUGCAUAUCUUAAGGAUAAUUACUUCUUUCUUCCCCACUAAAAAUUUCAGUCUUUUGGCAUCCGCAAUUUUUUAUUUUAACAAUGGAACAGUUUUAGCUUUUCUUUGUUCUUGUAGCCCAAGUUGGUUAGAAGAGAAGCACCCUCUAUGGAAGCUAGAGAUCAAAGCUAUUGGUACAAAAGAAUGCCCUUUUAGUUAUUGCAAGCUUGAACUAAGGCCCCUAGAAAGGGUCACUCGUUAGUUUCACUCUUUUGGUUUUUCUACAAGCGCAAAGGAGCUGUAAUUGAAACCUAUACAGGAGGCUAUGGGCAGCCAACCAAGGCAAAAAUUGGUAAUCAAGUAAAAGAGCUAUUGGAGGAAUGGUGCCUCAGUAUCUUCCUGUCUACCUUGUUCUCUUUUUCCUCCCACCAUUGUCUAUAUUCUCUAGCUUUGCUGAGACUACAGCAGCUAUAAUAAUACGUAUCCGUUUAGAUAGGAAUUUUAGCUUUUUCUAUACCACACAACCCCCCCCUCUAAAUCUGAAUCUGAAGAUGCACCCGCCAAGCUUCAGUUCACUACUGGCACUAGCUCCUCAUUGAGUGGCAUUGAUAAAAUACAAAUUUCAAAAUGCGAUAUACACCCAUUGAUGUGUGCCAUAUUCUUCUGAGACCUCGGUUAUUUGAUAAUAAAACUUAAGAAUUUUGGCUUCUGCCUAUAAAUUUUUGCCCCCACCUCCCAAAAAGCUCCAGAAGGGAACAGGUACAUUUCUCCUAAAACAGAUGGAGGCUGAUUAUGAUUCUAUCCUUGGCGCAGCUCUAUAAUUCACCUGGUCGAGUUCCGGUUGUAGGCCUAAAAGAAAGAAGACUAGAGAAAAUUUGGACUCACUUCAGUAAAGUUUUUUAAAAUUACACCAAACAAUUCCCAUGAAUCAGUUGACACACAUUGUUUUGAUAUAAACCACCUGCGAUCUCAUUACCGGGAUUAACAGCAGACAAUGAGAUUUGUGCAGAGCUACAGAUGCCAAAAAUAGUGCAAACAUUAUACAAUAUUGAUUAAUGACUUCUACGAAUGCCAAAAAUCUUGUUAUUUAUGACUGACAGAAGAUCCCUUGGAAAAAGUACAAGCUUGAUCCAACAAAAACAACAUGUGUCUUGAAAACUGUACAGAAAAUUCCAUACCAACUGAUUAACUGGUCUCUUUGGUUAUUUCUCUUCUAACACUUUUCACUUUUUUAAAGACUUGUCUUUCCAGGUCUCUAAAGCACAUAAUUUCAUAUUUAGUGUAUGACUUAAUCCUCCUAAGAUUAGAUUAGAUCUAUGGUAUAUUAGCAAAUAAAAAGUACUUACAAGAGUUUGGCAUUUUUCAUCCACAGAGCUUGACGAAGGCGCUUUGACUGUUUCUUGAAGUGAAAUGCACUGUCUUGCAUAGUUGCAGUUUUGUCAACAAGGAGUUCAAUUCGGUCGCCUCUCUCCAAAAUCUUUUCUAUGUUGUCGACCAUUAUAGUUCGUAUCUGGAUAUCAGAUAACUCAUUGUGAGAACAAACAGAGAUUUUCAAGAGCAAUCAACAACCAAACAUAAGGAAAUAAUAGAAAAACGCAGGCCAUAGCAGACCCAAAAAGUUAAUGAAAACAGUUUUGAAGUCCCUGUAUCAUGCAAAAAUCGUGUCCAACGAAACUAGCUCCUGAACUUAAAAACAAUAGCUACAUGAACUUUUCAAAUAUAAUUUCCAUCAUUUUCAUUAUUUGCAGCUUGCAGUGUAACUUUUUGCUUGUCAUUUCAAGUCUUUCAAUAAAACCUCAACAUGUCAUAUCAUCAAUUUCAUCUCUAGCUUACACUAUUAGUUAAGGAAACCAAUUAUUAGAGUGGGGGAACAAAUCUCCACAGUCAUAUAUCAACUUCGCCACUAGCUCAAACUAACACUUCCAAAAAACACAAAAUCUUUGGCCAAAUUUUUUACAAUAUUUCCAUCAUUUGUUCAUUGUCAACACAAACAUUUCCAAGACUCGUAACGGAAAAUCAAAGACGAGCACAAUAAUACUUGCCUCACCAACUUCGCCUCUCACACGGUUGAGAGUAUCAGCACUGGGAUUGCUGGAGAAAAACUCCAUUUGCUGGUGCAGCACUCUCGAAAACUCGUCGUUCAUCGCAUAAGCAGGAGCAUAAGGCGCAACUCUGCCGUAAUUCUUCAUGAAUCUCAUGUGCACAUCCUCCAAAUACGCAAACGGUAUCCUCCCUGCAUCAAAACAACCACAACUAAACCAAUCAAACACCAAAACACAGCGAAAUUCGAAAAACGACAUGAAUCGAAGCUAGAACUCACUGCCGAAAGUGUCGUUGGCCAUGCAGAGAAAGAUGAGGCCAUCCAAGGUGAGUAUGUGGAAGAUGUACCGAUCCUGGGAGAAGCAAACCCUGGAAUCGGCGUCCGGCGGGAGCUUCUCUAAGAUCCGGCGAGCCACGGCGCCUGUGUUUCCGGUGACGGCGCUAAACUCGGCCAGCACGACGGUGCCACGAGCGACGACGGCGUAGAGUAUCGCCAUGUCCGUCCCCGAUUAGGGCCCUGCGCGCUCUCUACUCCGAUCUCGAUCGAAUCCAAGUCUCACGGGCCAGUUUUGAACCUGAUUGACUCAGUCUAUUUAUAUAUUUUUUUAAAUUUUUUUUCCUUCAAAAUUGUAAUAUUACAACAAAGAAGUGAUAAUUCGAAUUUAAAGUUUGAAGUUUGAAAGUAAGCGCAACGUGAGCAAGUUUGUUGUUACCGGUGAGUCCACGACUUGUUUCGUUCGGGUGUAUGAUAAUUAAAGAUUAAAAUAUCUGUAAUAUAUCCGAUAUUUUUUUUUUUUAAGGUACCGAUAUAUCUAUAAGGGAUCAAUAUCUUAUCUUUCAUCGUAUCUAUGAUAUUUUCCCGAUAUUUCUCUGAUAUCGUCUCUGAUAUUUAGGAAAUAUCUCUGAUAUUUAUGAUAUUUCUGAUAUAUUAAAAAAUAUUUGUAAAAAAAAACUGAAAUGAUAUUCGGAAGAGAAGUAAUUCUCUCAAGGUAUAUCUCAAUGAAGAGUGUGGGUCUCGAGUGAUAUUUAGGAUAGAAGUAAUUUCCUCGAGGUAUAUCUCAAUGAAGAGUGUGGGUCUCGAGUAAUUCCCUCAAGGUAUAUCCCAAUGAAGAGUGAGGGUCUUGACUCUUGAGUGAUUUCCGGAAGAGAAAUUCCCUCGAGGUAUAUCUAGAAUAAAAGUAAUUCCUUCAAGGUAUAUCUCAAUAAAGAGUGUGGGUCUGGAGUGAUAUCUAGGAUAGAAGUAAUUUCCUCGAGGUAUAUCCCAAUGAAGCGUGAGGGUCUUGAGUGAUUUCCAGAAGAGAAGUAAUUCUCUCGAGGUGUAUCCUAAUGAAGAGUGGUGGUCUCGAGAAGAUGAUGAUGAAGACGGUGGAAGCGGAAAAAGUGGUGGAAAUACCGGGUUUGUAUAUGGACAAUCUUCUACAGUUAGUGGAUUGAACAAUUUUUCAUCUGAAGAAAAUUAUAAUCAUGCCUCCCAUGAUCAUGGCUAUUGAAGUACUAGGUAUGGCCGUAUGGAGCGCAAGAGGAUACUAUGUAUGGGAGGAGGACUAAAGGUUCGAAUGAUGAUCAAGAUGUUGCUUCAGUUGUGCUAAGUUUUGAGUCUAUCAGUUUAGGUAGUGGGAUUGGAACCUCAAAUGAAUCCCAAGAAGGCAAUAAUCAAUAUGGCUAUAAUGUUUACGGCUAUAAUCAAUGUACGGAAGUCAGUGAUCAGUCAUCUAGUUGGAUUCAUCCUUACUAUCUAUUUAUAGGGGAAACAGUCGGUUGCUCCAAAGACAUAUAUGAUUAUCAUAUUCAACACUACAAUUCGUACUAUUUGAGUCAUAUGUCUUUGUCUGAUUAUUAUACUUUUAUGGAUCAGCGUGCGUUUUAUCAACAACCUAGAUUCUCAUUUUGGAUGUAGAUGAAGUUGACGUUUGUAAUAUUUAUAUGUAAAUCCAAUAAAUUAAAUAUUUCAGAAAAAAAAAAUUCUUCCCAAAAUCCUGAUAUUUUUUCCUGGAUUUCCCCGAUAUAUCCAAUAUCUGUUUUUUUUUCUUCAAAUGACCAAUAGAUACACCGAUACCGAUAUUUUAAUCCUUGAUGAUAACAAAGUUACGAUGUUCACAAUUAGGAGCUUAUGGUUUACGAUUCCGGUGAGUCCAAGACUUUCAGAAUUUUGUGUAGUGUGUUUCGGGCAACAAUCUUCAUUUAUAUGGCUUGUAGAUAUAAGAUAUUAUGUGGAUGGUCUAAGAUCAGAUGACGUUAAGACAUAUGUAUGGUGAUCUUCACAUAUAAGAUAAGAUUACACUAUAUGUGCACAUUAUGUAUUAAUAAUUAUAAAAUAGAGCUGAAAUUUGCACUCUUUAAUUUACAAACCACACUCCCUGUAAGUUAUUUUUACCAAAUGACCCCUAAAAUUUUGCAAAAUCACAUCUCUACUAAUCCCCACCUUUUCUCUUUAACUGAAAAUGAACCUCUAUCUGGGUUGAAAUACUAUCAUCACCAACAGUUUUCUUAACUCAUCAUAUAUAUAUAUGAUGUUGGUUUGCAUUUCUCUUCUUGAGUAUAGUGUCUUAUCGAUUAAGAAAGAAUUCAUAACAAGAUUGUGUUCCUUUGAUUGAUUCUCUAUGAUGAUGAAGUUAAUUAAGAAAUAUAAAAGAUUGCAACGCAAACCCUUUGCCCAGUUUGCAUUGUUAUGGACUAGGUACUUCUUUCAACAAGAAAUCAAAAGCUUACGUUUUUAGAUAAGAGUACACAUUCAUGUAAUCUCAAUUAAACCAAUCCCUUCAUCAUUGCUAAAGCCAUUCUGAUUUAAAUGCAAAUAGGAGGACAAAAAACCAAUUACAGAGUGCAUCAACCUUUACCAUGAGCUCCCUCGCCAUGAACCCUAUUAAAUUGAGUCUUAACAAUUAAAUCAAAAGAUCCUUAGAUAUUAAAACAACUCUCAAGCAAAGUAAGAACCAUAAAGAAAUAAGCAACAAGAGUUUGAGGAGAGAGAAGACGACGAGGUAUGCACUGUGUAAGUGAUUGAGGGUAUUUUUGGCAAAUGGAAAGACAACUUAAAGAAAAUAUAAUAAAAUAAGAGUUGUGAAAUCCACACACCCUAAAUUGAAAUCCACACACCCUUUUUCUUUUUUUGGUAAUUUAAAUUUUAUCUUUUAGUGACUUAAACUUUGUCUUUUUGUGAAUGUGUUAACCAAAAAAGGAAAAAGGGUGUGUGGAUUUCAAUUUGGGGUGUGUGGAUUUCACAUCCCUAAAAUAAUCAAAAUGAGUGUGGUCUGUAUUUAGGGAAUGUAAAUUUCAGCUCCCUUAGAAAAUCACUUCAACCCCUCUUGUUUUGGAAAUAGAUGCAUUGAUAGUUGUUCAAGAGAUAAAUAACUUAGGACCAAACUGGUCUAUUGAAUAUGCAUUAGGGUGAGUUUGUUUCCGCUUUUAGGCUGCUUUACUUUGUAGUAAAGUUGCAUAAAGUGUUUGGUAACUUUGAAAAUGUCCUGCUUUGCUUUGAAGCAUUGGCCUUUUCAAGCCAAAAGCCAAAGCAACUCCUACCUUGAGUUUGGAAGCAGAAGCAGCGCGCUACUGUAGCGAUGAAUUAAUGAAUCUUUUAAAAUACCAAUGGGUACCCCUCAUGGCUCACAUGAAUUACGACCCAAUAUCAUUUGUGAAAACGCUGCUGCUACUUCAUUUGCGUCUUCUCUUUCAGUUCUUCAACUCUGCCACUCUCCUUCACAAUUCACAAACGUCAAUCACAACCUUGGGAUAAAAGAGAAGAAGGAGAUCGUUUGAUUUUCUGGUGAUUUCUCUUCUUCCCCUUUUCGCACCUGAUAUAUGAAGUCAGGAAAUUGUUUACUUGAUUUCCAUGGUAGUUCCACACUUCCACCGCUGAAUGGUUGUACUUGGAUAGAAGGUAGAACUCAUUCUUGUUUAUUGUUUAUUUGUAUUACAAAUUCAGUUGAUGAGUAAUUGGUAGGUUUAAAGAGAUUUUGAGUAAUUUUUAUUUAAGGUAAAUUCUUAUAUUGAUUGUAGUUGAAUAUUUGUUUGAUUGUUGUGGUUUGAAGAAAUUGAUAGGUAUGUAGUUUUGGGUUUUUUGAUCAUUGUACCUUUGCUCUGAUCAAUGUGAAAAAUGUGAUCGUUACAACAAUCACAUAAAAAAAGUUUACACUUUCUUUAUUGAGCCUAACCUUCAUAAUUAGGAAUUGUAGAUUUAUGUAAAAGCUAGGUAAGAUUACAACCAAGUCUUGAUAAAGUCCACAACACAGUGAUGGAAACCAUCUUUGUUGCAGUUUUUAUGUGGUUUUGUAAUUCAUCUUUGUUGUUCCUAUUGUUAAAUUUUGAUUGUUUUGCAAUUGAUCUUUGUUGGAUGUACUGAUUAGGCAUCUCAAUUUCUUUGAUAUCAAGAGGAGUUAGAAACAAUUGGAUCAUACCUUUUGGACUGGGCAUCCUGAGAUUAUUUGUAAUUGACAAAAAAUUUUAUGCAGGGUCACAAUUUUACAGUUGAAGCUGAUGGGUACUAUGUGGAGCCAUUUGUGAUCAAAAACAUAUUCUUUUACUCUGGUGAGACAUACUCAGCUUGAAACAUGAAGUAGUAAUUGUUAGUGGUAAAAUCAAAGGACAUGCUAAAUGUGCUAGUGCUUUAUAUAAUUGGAGCAUUCAUUCCAGCAACACAGAGAUCACAGUGUAACUUCUCAACUGGCUCAACAAAAAGAAUUUAAUUUGAGAAAACCACCUUCUUUUCCAUUGUAAUCUACUUCCUUUAGAGUGCAUGGUACGCAAAUGUCUUUCUUAAUAUUCGUGUUUGCUAGAACUUAUGUGGAUGCAAAACAAAUUGCACUUCUUAUCCAUUUGGUCUGAGAUAUUUUUGCUACAUGACAGGUCAUGAUAUGUGGUCUGAUAGGAAUACAGAGAUUAUAACUUAACUGGUCUUGUGUUGUAAUCAAAGAUAAUAAGUUCAAUACCAUCUCAAUUUCUUUUCAACCACGACACUCUAAAAUAAUUUUCUAAGUGUUCAGAAUACGGAGAUGCACGUAUCGAUACAUUUCAACUCAGUUGGAACAUGUCAGAUGGUCAAGGAACUAGAGAGGUUAAGAAAGAGGCUCAAGGUGAAGUGAAGUUAAGUUAUUGUUUUUUGUUGUUGAUGUAACUUAUAGCCAAUGUAUGGCUAGUUGUACAAGUUUGGAGGCUUUGUAAUCAGAUGAUGUCUUGUGUAAUCUAUAUAUGUUGCCUAUUAAUUUGAUCCCAUAGUUAUGAACUUGUGAUUAUUCUAUUUGGUUCCUAGUUAUCACUUAAUCAAUUCUCUUAACCUUUCAUCUUAUCGUUGUGAACCUGGGAAAAGUGUGAGGUCACAUACAUAUUAGAAAAUUACGGUAUACACAAGAAAGAGUAAAAUAACUGGAGAAAUUACGAGUACUUGAGAAAUGCUACUUAUAUGGAUUGAAUUCCAUAGGCCAUGACUGAGAAGUAAAUAAAGAGAAAAGAUUUCUCAUGUCCAAAUGGGUCAUUGCACAUUCUCAAAACACUUUUAGUUUUUACUUACCAAACACUUUACCACUACUUGUAACACUUGCAACACUUAUGAAAAGCCAGUUUACCAAACACGCAGUUAUUUUGCUUUCCAGCUACUUAUUCUUAGAAUAAGUAAAAGUCAGCUGUUUUUGGAAGCCACAACUGUACCAAACACACCCUUAGUAGAAGAGAUGAAAUCUUUAUUAAACUUAUUCUCUUUCAAAGUUUUUUAAUUUGUGUGGAAGUGUUUUCAGCUGUAAUCAUCUAGUGUGGUGUGUUUUUAUUGCAAAUAAGUGUUUGUACUUGUAAUUAUGAAUACCUAACCCGAGAAUGAGGCUCUGGGUUUUGUAUUUGUAGUUAUGUUGAAAUAAAUAAAUUCUAUCUUGUACCCAUUAUUUGGUCACAAAAAAAUUUAAUAAAUAUAUGCAUAUUUGAGUCUGCUUUGUGUUUCUAUUUUACAAAUACUUUGCUUUUAAGAAUUAAGAAUUUUCCAUACUAAAACAACAGUGAUUCCGUCAUAUUAAGUAACUAUUUAGACAAUAAGUCGUUAGGUGAAAUAGUGGCAUGUUGAAGGCUAAUUCUUAUGGUGGUGAGUCUUAGUCUUAUUAAAUAAAGUAAUAAGAAAACUUAAAAAGAAAUAUCUACCCUUUUUUGUUUACUACACUAUAACGGAAUAGUUGCCAAAUUUAACGGAAGUAUGUCAUUGAUAGCAAAGUAGGAGUUUAGGUACUACAUUGACAGCUUUGUAAGUCUGGGUAUCAAACUGACUGAGACACAAGAGUUGAGACACUGUUGGUGAAGUUUUCUUUUUGUACAUAUAUAGCCCUAGGAAAUGUAAUCAGAUAUUGCACAGUUAAAUCAGAAUGGCUAACCGAUAUGCUUAAACAGUGAUGCAAACUUAUCUACUACUUUAUAUAUGCAAUUAGUUCUUCUAAUAUAAAUCACUUAGGGUACCAUUUAUAUAUGUAAAUUAAGAAUUGAAAUUUGUUUAGUCCUUAUGGUUUGAAGUCGACAUCUGUUUAGUCUUUCUAGUUUUAUUUUAAUCUGAAUAGUCCUUAAAGUCACAAUUUUUCAUUUAAAUAGUCCUUAUGGUUUUAUUUUAAUAUGAAUAGUCCUUAAAGUCAUGAUUUUUCAUCCAAAAGCCUUUCCGACAAUUUUCUCAGUUAAAGGCCAUAAGGACUAUUUGGAUGAAAAAUCAUGACUUUAAGAACUAUUUAGAUUAAAAUAAAAUUAUAAAGACUAUUUAGAUGAAAUAUAGUAACUUUAAGGACUAUUCAGAUUAAAAUAAUACCAUAAGGACUAAACAGAUGUCGACUUUAAACCACAACGACUAUACAAUAUUUUACCCUUAAAUUAAUAAAACAUAUUUUAACACUGGUUUAGUAGAUAGUAAUCAGAAGACUAGGAACUCGAAUAUGAUUAUGACGGUGAAGUUAGAAGCCCUAGCGUUUGUCCCUCGUUGUGUUCAAAACCCUUUUCAACAUUCUAUCAAUCAUCUAGUUUGUUUUACUCUUUUCUCAUUGUUUACAAAAAUCACAAAAAAAUCUUCUUAUUUUCUUGUUAGUCAUUAGCAUAUUUUGGUCAAUUAGUUAGAGUUGAAAGUUAGUUAUCCAUCCCUAGUUGGAACGACCUCGUAUUUGCAUAAGCUAUACUACAAACGAUUCGUGCACUUGCAAAGUUAUUAAAAUUUGACAACAUAACCGAUUUCAACAAUCCAAGAAUCCGACCUGUUUGCAACUUUUCAUAGACUCCAUAUAUAUUUCUAAUUUUAAUGAGACAAAGGCUUGCAAGUAAUCUGUUCCACUACAACAAUGUGGAGCAAAGGUCACACACCUGGUGUGGCCUUUGGGGGUGUUGUAUUUUUUGUUAAGUGUGGCAAAUGAGGGUAUUAAUGUAGGUAUUGGUGAGGUAUGAGGGAAAAUGCCACACAUGAUGAUUUGCAACACCUCUAAAGACCACACAUCUUGUGUGGCCUUUGCUCCAUCUUGUUGUAGUGUCCCAAGGAAACAUGCAAAACCAAUUACCAAGCAAAGCCAGGUUGCUUUGCAAUACCUAAUAUGGUUCACAGCUUCACAUAAGCCGUACACUUCUGCAAGCACAUGACAGGUACAACACAUGAUAUAAUCUUGAAACCUUAACAAGACCCUAUUACGAAUUUAUUUAUGGAAUUACAAAAAGUAAUCUUCUUAGUUUACUUAAACUUCUACUGUCAAGAUCAGUAAGUUAUCGGUGAUAAGCUCGAAAUAUACGCAACAUGCCUCACAUUAUACCUUAUUGAUUAGUUCAAAGACACAUCACUUAUUUUGCAAAGCUUGUUCUUUAGCAAAAAUAGGAUCGAGACCUUCCUAUGCUAAAGAUAACCAAAAUAUUUCAAAGAAUACAAUGUGAUUAUUGUGGACUUAUCCAUCCAGAAAUGACGGACCAUUAAAGUACUUUAUGGUUUUAGAGGAUGUUUCGAUACGCUAGUCACAUGUCGAAUAAUUAUCCACAAGAAAUGCUGCAUUUGAAAACUCUUAGCACAUCUUAUACAUCUAAGGGUUCACCACCCUAAUCACCAAGUCUAUAGGACUUGACAAUGCUAAGAGUUCACAUCAAAAGUAUUUGAUGAUUAUUGCUUGUUUAUCAGAAUCGAUGUAAAGCAUCUUGUACCCCAUUUGCAUACACAAAAUGGUCUAGCAGAAGCCACCAUCGAUGGUGGCUAGAGCACUGGUUACGCAAACAAACCUGCCUAUAUCUGUUUGGGGUUACGCAAUAUUGCACACAUACUUACUUAUUCAUUUUUAGACUCACUACUAGUCAACCAAUUAAUGUGUACCAGUUGGUAACUGGACAUGAGCCUGAGAUUUACACAUAUUUGGUUGCACAACAUAUGUGUCUAUUGUGCCCCCACAAUGUAUCAAAAAUGGGUCCUUAGAAACGAAUAUGUAUUUAUGUUGGAUACGAACCUCCAAUAAUUACAACCGAUCUCACAACUCGAUUUGCAGAUUGUCACUUUUAUAAGACAAUAUUAUCGUCGGUAGGGGGAGAUAAGAAAAAGAAUAAUCUAUGGGAACGACAUGAAUUUUCGUGUUUGUCCCACUCUGUUUCAUCCUGAUCCCCACAUAAUCAAUAUUUAGAACGUAACAGUUUCGAUGCCUGAUGCGUUUAAAGAUAUUGCUCAAGUGACGAGAUCACACAUACCAACUGCAAAUGCCUGCAAGGUCAAAAGUCCCCAAUAAGGUGCACGUCACCGCAAAUAGAGGCGAUGUAACUACACUUAGUGGAGGUGUAGUUGAGGUCGUGGCUCCCUAAAGGAAGAGGGGGAGGGCACUUACUCGCCCAAAGGAAAAAGGUGGGUAAGGCACAACCUAAUAAUCAUCAAUGUAGUGAAUCUCUGUCAUAAGAUUGUCUCUGAUUACAAUUAUGUUCAUGAAUCAAUACUGGAGGACACUCCGAUGUUUAAAUGAUUCGUGAGACAAAAUCUCAAUGAAUUACAAGAGUAUACACAUUGAUGAUAUAUUCGCACUGUUGCUCAAGAAACUAUAGAGCACGAUGAUAUUGAACCAGGUUAUGUUGAAGAAUGUCAACAAAGAGCAUAUUGACCUAAAUAAAAGUGCAAUAUCCAAGAAGAGCUAUUCUCUGACAAAGAGACAGAUAUUUGGUUUUUGGUAGUGCUAACCUUAUCAAGUGUAAUGCCCGUAGGACAUAAAUAAGUCUUUGUCAAAAAAUGUAAUGAGAAGAAUGAAGCCUUGAAGAACAAAGCUCGCCAAGUGGCGCUAAGGUUUCUCGCAACGCUUUAGAUUGACUACGAGGAGACAUAAUCUCUCAUAAUGAAUGCAACUCAUCGAUGUGGUUACUAGUUAUCUCCAUGGGGAUCUUAAUUGAGAGAUAUUUAUUAAAGGGCCUAAUGGCCUUACACUAUCCAACUCAAGUAACUUUAAACCACGGAGUGCGUUUGCAAUUAGAAUUGAAACACUCACUAUAUUAAAAGUGACUACUUUGUUGGGAAGGGAUAUAAAUGAUGAACUAUGGCCUCAUAAAGGAAACAGGUUCGGAUUUGCAAUUAUAGUCAUCUAUAUGUUGAUGCUAUGAAUAUAGUAGGUAUUCUUGAUGAAAUAAAAGAAACCGCGAGCUACAUAAAAUCCGAAUUGAAAUGAAUAAUCUUGGGAAACUCAAUUAACAAUGAGUUUAUGUCAGUACCCACCCUGAAUUUCACCCUGAAAUCCGAAGUAAAUCCUGCGGGGUCCAUCUAUCUUCAAGGAAAAUUUACUAAAAAUUCAGCAUAAUCUAUCUUGAAAAUGAACAACCCUUACCUGAAAAAUUCCAAAUAAACAAUUCUAUUAAAAAUCAUCCAUCCUCAACUCCUGGUGCCUUCAUGCUCCCCAAGUUCAUCACAUCUCCCAAUAUAUCAAUUAAUCAUCUAAAAGCAUCCCACAACCAACAACAAAGACAUUUAAUAAUUUACUACUGGUCUUUCAGAGCAUAUCUAAAGAUGAAUGAAAAACAAUGAAAACGAAUAAGCGAAAGCAGCCCCUGACUGUGCCUCGACUCCAUGUACGCUCGACCUCAUUUAAACUUAUCCUGCAUACUGGGCAUUUAAAACCAAAAGGCCCAGGGGAAAGUAAUUUAAAAACGUUAGAGUGAGUGGACAAAAAUAAAUUAAACAAUUUAACAAAAUACGUAAUUUAAAUACUUUCCCACAUUUCAGUUUUAAAAACUUAGCUGCACGCAACUUUCGUAAAUCAUAUAACUUAAAUUCCAGAAACCCAAUAGAAUGGACAAACCAAUCCCGCUGGUUAAUCAAAUAAAGAAAUCUCGUAAGAAGAGAUAAACCAACCCCGCUGGUUAAUCAAAUACAUAACAGAGAAAAAUAAAAUAACAGGAAAAGUUAUCACCAUGUAAGAGGAGCCUCCAAGGCUCGGGUCGGUGCCUCCCAGACCAUAGUAGCGUCCCACGCUAAGUGCUAAACUCACCUAUGGUGAGGACAGCUAAUAAGGCUAGCUAACAAUAAAUAAAAAUAUCUGAUCGGUGCCUCCCAGGCUAUAGUAGUGUCCCAUGCUAAGCGCUCGACUCACCUAUGGUGAAGACCGCUAAUAAAGCUAGCUAGUAAUGAAAUAUAAGCGACCCUAUAUUUUGGUGACUAAAAACAUACGACAUCACUUAAAUCCAUUAAACUUCCCCAAGAUCAUAUGAAUGGUACGGUUACGGUUCCCAACCGUACUUGAAAAUCAUCAUAAGAAAUUAUAUUAAAACUCAAUGACGUGUCUCACACGUCAAAAUAUUCUCAAAGCCAUAAUAUAAGCGAGGUUUAAUUAACAAGUAAAAAUCGUAAUUAAUAUCUCAAACCAAAAUACUCGCUAAAAUAUUCUCAAGGUCAAGAUCGAUAUUCCACAAAUAAAUGCGAAAAUUAUAAAUAGCGAACUACCGAUAAUCCCAUUUUCGGAAAUCUUUUAUAUAAAUCUCAAGUCCACAACUAAAGCAAUCAUAAUGAAAUCCAGAAUUUAUAAAGAAUAUCCAAACUCAAAUACCAAAUUAGUAAUCCGAGCUCAAAUUCAUAAAUCAUGACCCAUAAUUAAUCAAUGCUUCAAACUUAAAUACUUUCCAAGAUCAUUUCGUAAGCCGAAAUUAUAAUAUAAGUUCGGAAAAUAAAAUAAUAAAUUAUAAAAUCUUGCAUGCAUAUUUAUUUAAAACCAAAAUGUCCACUCACAAAUUUAAGCAUAAGCCCGACGAUAUCCACAUCACCACUCAAGCGAGGUUCCCUUCGUAUCCUGGCACAAUAAAUAUGCUUAGGACCAAACUUCAAUUCCGGAAAAUAAAUACUUGAAUAUAAACACCCAAAUCUCUUCCGCUUAACCCACUACUCUUACUAGGGUUAAGCUUACCGGAUUCACACCAAACUCCACCACAACCUUAAUUCAUCAAUUCUAACAUUCUAGAAUAAAUACCAAGGAAAUCCAACGGCCAGAUUUUCACUAUAACAACCGCCAAAAUUCUCAAUUUUUGAAAAAUCCCAAACCUAACCAAAACUCCUCCAAAAAUUCCAAACAUUACAUCAUUAAACUCCUCUCAUUAAAACAAACUCAAAAACAUGAAAAACUACCCCUAAGCGGCAGCGGCGCCGUCUGUUCCGCGGGCAGCGGCGGCUGGCCAGCCCAAUUUCAGGCGACCUCCAAUGGCUACCAAAUUUUGACACAAUUUUCCUCUCAACAUUCCAAACAACUUUCAUAACUACCACAAAGUCCAAUUUCAAGCCUAACUAGGGUAAUCGAAGACAAACAUAAAAAAAAAUCUCAAUUUCAAACCUUAGAAUUUCAAACCUUUGAUUCUCCUUACCUAGCUCGAGUUAGGUCGAAUCCUUUUAGGGGUUUGCUGCUGGAAGGGAGAGCUUCAAGACGAGACCGGUAGCUCUGAUUUUUUUGGCCGGAAAAAGGAGUUCCGGCGAGAACACCUCCGCGGCACAGCCGUGACUUCCAGGCGAUCAUGCUCCUUCACGGUGGCGCAACAUGGGCUUCCACCUACCUAGACUUGUUGUCACAUCCCGACCCUUAUAUUUUUACCUUAUUUACUAGCGUGAUUAUAAUAUGAAUUUUACCGUCUCCGUCUUUGAGUUAAUAGUUUAAGUGGUCCCUAGAGGGGUUCGGGGACGAUUAUGUGCGGAGGAUUAUUCGUAUGAGGAAAAAUACGACGACGGUAAAAAUGGUAAAUUUAGCUAGUAAAAGGUAAUUUUUAUUCGGGUAUUAUUUUUCGGGGUGUUUUUAUUUUUGAGUUGGGUUGAUAAGGGUGGACCGGUUGGGAGGCCCAACCCAUUUCUUUUUUUUCUCUUCUUCUCUCUUUUCUCUUCCUCCUCUCUCCCGUGCCCUUUCCCCCCUGCCGGAUCGUCCAGCCGCCGUCCGGCCAGCCACCGGCCGCCGCUCCACCCCAGUUCGGACCCCCAUCUCCUCCUCUCCCACCCCGGCCUAGCCCCCGAGCCUCUAACCCGCCGGAAACACCGGGAAGCAUUUCGCCGGAACUCCCUCCUCCGGCCACCAAUCCGGGCAAGCUUGGUAUGGUUUUGUAGCCCUCCAACCCAGCAGUCUUGCCCUAAAAGGACUCACUCCCUCUUGAGCUAGGUAAGGAGAAAUUUGAGGUGGAAGUUUUAUGGUGUUUUUGAUGUUUUUAGUCGAUUGCCCUAGUUAGGCUUGGAAUUGGUGUUUGUGCUAGUUAUGAAAGUUGUAGAGCUUGAUGAGAGGAUUAUUCUGUCAAAAUUUCAUAGGUUUUGGAGGUCGCCGGAAUUGACUUCCGGCCGCCGCUGCCGGCGGAGCCACCGGCGGCGCCGCCGCCGGUUAGGAGAUUUUUAGGGUUUUAAGUGUGGAAUAUUAAGAGGAGUAUAUUGAUGUGAUUUAUGGAAUUUUUGGAUGAGAUUUGGAUAGGUUUGUGAAUUUCCGAAGUUUGGUAUUUUUGGCGGUUAAUUAAUGUAGAAUCCGGCCGUAGGAUUUAAGUCGUAUUUUGGAGAGGUUGUAUUUACGACUGUUGAGUAUGAUAUUUAAGUUCGGAUUGUUCCGAUUUAAGAAUAUCGAAGUUAGGCAAUGAUGAGCGUAUUUAUGGUUCUCGGGUAAUUUUGCCUAUUUUGAUUAAAUAUUGGAUUAUUGGUUGGGAAAUUAAUAUUAUAUUUGGAACAGGACGUGAGGAGGCUCGAGCAGACGAGGCCCCAGAUCGACAUCAGGCUUAGGCCAAAUUUGUGAGUGGACGUUUAUUUUAAAUAAAUGCAUGCUAUAGUUCAUGGUUGAACAAUUAAAUGUCGUGGAGUAUUNNNNNNNNNNNNNNNNNNNNAGUUUUCAUCAGUAGGUUACCUGUUCAACCUACUCGUGUUUUCUUACUUCCGCUUGUGUUUAGUAGCUCUGAAUACCUUGGGAUUAUUGUAUAUUACGUGUAGAAUUUCGGAAGGAUAAUUAUGUGAUGUUUGGAAGUGUUGAUUUAAGAGUGUAAUUUGGAAUUUUCGAGUUAGGGUUGUCCAUCUGCAAGGGAGAUUUUCUUAAUCUUUUCAGUAAAUUUUCCUUGGAGGUGGUCCCCGCACGACUUACUCCGGGUUUCCUUGGAGGUGGUCCCCGCACGACUUACUCCGGGUUUCAGUGUGAAAUUCAGGGUGGGUCGUGUCACUUGUAGAGGAUGCUCCAAGCUUCAAUUUGAUACCAAGCUUGCCGCCUAUCUUGGCCGGAUGGCGGCGGACGGGGGCGUUGAAGUCCGGCGGUCGAAACUGGCGCGGGAGAGGAGAGAGAGAGAGAGAAAGUAACUUUCUGAUUUCUACCUUACCUCUUCUGGUAAGUUUCCCUUUUUAUACUCCCAACUGAAAUAAUAACUAUUGUUUUUAGACCAUAACUUCUUCAUACGAACUCCGUUUUAAGCGUACCACGUGUCCACGAACUCUGUUUAACGUCCUAUACGACUUUCAUGAAGAAAGUUUUCCCAAAUUUUAGACGAAGGAAAAGUCAACUUUUGAAGCCUUAAAUAGUAAAUGGUUACUCAAAACAGUAAAAGGUCAAAGUAACCUAAAAAUCAAUAACCGCAAAUUAAUUGAAGAACCGGGAUGUGACAGUUUAUGGAAUACUAAUCCACCAGUUUACAUGUGUCUAAAUGAUUCUCAAGCAUUUACAUGGACAAAAUGUACACUGUUAGCACUCCCAAUGAUCAGUCGAUGUUUGGAUGUAAAGAA
rnacentral:lncRNA from 1 species